ACGAACGCUGGCGGCGUGCCUAACACAUGCAAGUCGAACGAGAAAGGGGCUUCGGCUCCGAGUAAAGUGGCGCACGGGUGAGUAACACGUGGGUAACCUGCCUCUAAGAUUGGGAUAACUCGUCGAAAGAUGAGCUAAUACCGAAUAAGACCACAGUUCCCGCGGGAACAGGGGUCAAAGGUAGCCUCUGCUUGCAAGCUAUCACUUAGAGAUGGGCCUGCGCACCAUUAGCUAGUUGGUAGGGUAACGGCCUACCAAGGCAAAGAUGGUUAGCUGGUCUGAGAGGAUGGUCAGCCACACUGGGACGUGGGCACGGUCCAGACCCCUACGGGGGGCAGCAGGGGGGAAUAUUGCGCAAUGGGCGAAAGGUUGAAGCAGCAACGCCGCGGGAGGGAUGAAGGCCGUCGGGUCGUAAAGCUCUGUCGGGAGGAACGAAUGCUCCUGAGGUUAACAGCCUCGGGAGGUGACGGUACCUUCAAAGGAAGCACCGGCUAACUCUGUG
rnacentral:rRNA from 1 species